UGGCGGACGGGUGAGUAAUGUCUGGGAAACUGCCUGAUGGAGGGGGAUAACUACUGGAAACGGUAGCUAAUACCGCAUAACGUCGCAAGACCAAAGAGGGGGACCUUCGGGCCUCUUGCCAUCGGAUGUGCCCAGAUGGGAUUAGCUAGUAGGUGGGGUAACGGCUCACCUAGGCGACGAUCCCCAGCUGGUCUGAGAGGAUGACCAGCCACACUGGAACUGAGACACGGUCCAGACUCCUACGGGAGGCAGCAUG
rnacentral:rRNA from 1 species